rnacentral:rRNA from 1 species
AACGCGAAGAACCUUACCUGGGUUUGACAUGGGACUGCACCACGGGUAAUGCCGUGUCCGGUUCGCCGGCGGUUCCACAGGUGCUGCAUGGCUGUCGUCAGCUCGUGCCGUGAGGUGUUGGGUUAAGUCCCCUAACGAGCGCAACCCCUGGGGUCCGUUGUACUUUUCGGGCCCGACUGCCGCGCGCAACGCGGAGGAAGGUGGGGAUGACGUCAAGUCAGCACGGCCCUUACGUCCAGGGCGACACACACGCUACAAUGGCCGGUACAACGGGUUGCCAAGCCGCAAGGUGGAGCCAAUCCCCCAAAGCCGGUCUCAGUUCGGAUGGCAGGCUGCAACUCGCCUGCCUGAAGCCGGAGUUGCUAGUAACCGUGGGUCAGCACACCACGGUGAAUACGUUCCCGGGCCUUGUACACACCGCGAGC